AGAGUUUGAUCCUGGCUCAGGACGAACGCUGGCGGCGUGCUUAACACAUGCAAGUCGAACGCGGUCCAUCCGGUGGCAACACUGGUGAAGACCGAGUGGCGAACGGGUGAGUAACACGUGAGCAAUCUGCCCCGAAGACCGGGAUAAGCCUGGGAAACCGGGUCUAAUACCGGAUACCCCCACCGGGCCGCAUGAGCCGG
rnacentral:rRNA from 1 species